UGUGGUGACGAUACCGAUAUGGAAAUACCCGUUCCCAUCCCGAACACGGAAGUCAAGCAUAUCAGGGCCGAAGGUAGCGAAUGCAAGAAUAGGACAUUGCCACGC
rnacentral:rRNA from 1 species